CCUACGGGUGGCAGCAGUAGGGAAUCUUCCACAAUGGGCGAAAGCCUGAUGGAGCAACGCCGCGUGAGUGAAGAAGGUCUUCGGAUCGUAAAACUCUGUUGUUAGAGAAGAAAGUGUGUGAGAGUAACUGUUAACGCCUCGACGGUAUCUAACCAGAAAGCCACGGCUAACUACGUGCCAGCAGCCGCGGUAAUACGUAGGUGGCAAGCGUUUUCCGGAUUUAUUGGGCGUAAAGGGAGCGCAGGCGGUCUUUUAAGUCUGAUGUGAAAGCCUCCGGCUUAACCGGGGAGGUGCAUUGGAAACUGGGAGACUUGAGUGCAGAAGAGGAGAGUGGAACUCCAUGUGUAGCGGUGAAAUGCGUAGAUAUAUGGAGGAACACCAGUGGCGAAGGCGACUCUCUGGUCUGUAACUGACGCUGAGGUUCGAAAGCGUGGGUAGCAAACAGGAUUAGAUACCCUUGUAGUC
rnacentral:rRNA from 1 species